rnacentral:misc_RNA from 1 species
GUAAAGAGCAAGUGGCACGUUCCAGUGAUUACCUCGAUGGGCAAUUGACCUUUCGCGAGCGUCUGCUGGUGCGUCAUCACUUGAUGUUCUGCCCGAACUGCCGUCGGUUUAUCCGCCAGAUGCGCCUGCUGCAGGCGACGCUGAAGAUUAUGCCGGAUGAGCCGGUAGAGGGUGUGGAUGCCCUGGCGCAGCGGCUGGCUGCCGAGCGGCUCAAGGAUCACAAAG